GUGCGGGUGGGAGUGGCGUGGCUGUGUUGCUGUGAAAAUGUUGAUGGGCAAGGGGUUCUCAUUAGAGCAGGGGACCACUCCGGAUUCAAUAAUAAGCAGGAGGUUGAUGGGAGGUUGUGGACGCGGUGACGGAGCAGUAACAGCAGGGAGCGGUGGUGGUGUUGCGAAAGAGCAUCUACGCGUGACAGACCUCUUCCUCCAGGAGAAAGUAUCUACAUCCACUGACUGCUUCGAGAGAAAAUAGGCCUUGCUUUCAAUUUUCCUUGAAAGUGCCGCUGUCUCAUUUACAUUAGAAAUGAAGAAUCAUCUGAUCAAGGGCAGAGCUGUGGUAGGCAGCACUGAAAGACGAAGCGCAAGGGUUCACAUGCGCUGGACUUCCUAAGGCUGAUGCAUCACAGGCCAUUGUGCCAAAGCUGGAUUCUCAUUGGAUGGGAGGAGCUCCCCUGGCUCAACAAGCUGCACAGCGAUACUUCAUUGGCUUAUAGCAAACAAGUUGCUGGAGUUGAACGUCUGAUUGGUUGGGAAGUACUGUUCUUAUAUACUAAGGUGUUUGUAGUUGCAGAAAUAGUUUUCUGUGGAUACGUGAAAAGCAUGUAUAUGGGGUCAUCUGUUUAUUGAUAAAAAUGUAAGUGCAUUUUUUGUAAAAAGAUCAUGUGUAUUCUUUGUCGGUGUACACAGCCCGGUAAUGUUUUUACAGGUUUGUCAGUAGUUGUUUUCUGAAGUAAUUAUCAUACAGGUAUGGUCUAAUGUCUGAUGAUGACAUUUUUGAUCAUCCCUGCCUCUUAUGAUGCAGCGGGCUAAUCUCAGGGCUUGGUUACAUUGUGUUUUACAGGUACCGAAGCUUGAACAUGUACAGGUUUAUUAGAAAGUUUUGGAUUCCAGAUGAACUUCCAUGAAAGAGCUGCUAAACACCCCUUUAAACUGAAUGGCUGGAGAGCAACGCGUUACCAUCCUCUCUAUUCUACCGAGCAACAGAGAGAAAAGGACUCGUCAAGAUUCUGCUGUGUUGUACACCGUAGAAGAAUGGCUUUCAUUAGAAGUGCCCCCCUUGGAAGCUGGUUUCAGAUGGUGGCUUAGAGUAUUGUCAUCUAUCUAGCACCAUUUGAAAUCAGUGUUCUUGGGGUGGGAAGUGUGUUUCCCUGACCGUCACAAGGCAGCUGCAAGGUGUCUCAAAAGGUGCCCACUGAUGAAAGUGAAAGAAAGAGACGUCACCUGGAAGUUAUCACUCCCUGAAGCACCAAGAUGUGGACUACAGACUACCAGUCUAGUGACAUUCUGACAGCUCAAGCUCUUUGUCCUCUUUCCAAGGUUGACCGAUUUCUUUUGGUGUUCAGAGUCUGUUUCUCUUUCUAGCACCAUUUGAAAUCGGUUACAGUGAAGGACAGAUCUCAUCUUACCUUGAAGAGGAUUUUGCAACUAACUGUGCUCUUUGACUGGAGUGAAAUUUUGUGAAAAUAUACUCACCGACCACUUGUCUCUUUGAAAUCUAAUGCAAUCCAGUACAACAGCUUUUCAGGUUUUGUUGAUGCUGCACUGGAAUGCAUUACAUUUAGAAGUGUUCCUAAUAUUUUGUCCACCCACUUAAUAUUCAUGGGGCAAUGGGAAAAUGCAAAACAUUGGGAGAACUUUCAAAUGUAAUGCAAACCAGCGCACCAAGACCACAAUGAUAAAUAUACUGACAGGAAAAGGUAGAUUAUGAAUAACACUGAUUAUAUUGUUAUAGUAGUUCCUCUAUGGGAUCUGACCACACAAACCAGACUUUACUCCCCACUGGCAUCAGUGAGCUUUGGAUGUUCAUGAUCCCAUUUCCAGUCCACCAGUUGACCUACCUUCAGCCGCUUUUGGCAGGUACUAACUUUUGCAUACCACGAAAACCUUACAAGACCAGCUGUUUUGGAGAUGCUCCAACUCGGUCAUCUAAUUAUCACGGUUUGACUCUGGUCCAAGCCACUGUGAUUCUUAUUCUGGCCAUUUUUUUUUUUCUGUUUCCAGAGCAUCAUCGUCGAGAACCAACUUCCUAAAUUAUCCUACCCGUUGACAAGGUGCCAUAGUAAAGAGAUGAUCUAUGAUUAUACCUGACCCGUCAGUGCUUAAAUGUUGUUGGCUGAUCUAGUGUAUUUAUACGCUGUAUACAUACAUUUAUGUUCUUUGCAGUAAAGUAUUCAGAUCCUUUACUAAAACUUGCAACAUGGAACUUUUGUCUCCCCCUUCUGGCAGUGAGUAUAACUACAAAAACACUAACACAAGGUUAAGAUGUAUAUCUACAGGUGAACUCACUUUUAUUUUAGACUGUGAGCCUUCCUCUGCCAAGUUUCGUUUUUUUUAUCUAGAGAAUCAGAAAUGUUUUUGGAUGCUUCCUAGGUUUUUUGACAAUAGCCCCAUCAUAGUCCUACGUGCUGUAGUUUACUCUGCCAGUGACCAGGUACUGAUGGCUGAAGUGAAACACAUUGUUACCGAUGCAGGAAUGUUGCCACAGAAACUGAUUCGAAAAUUCCACUACAUCGUGAAAUACAAAUGGUUUACCUGACACCAGUGGGCAUAAUCAAAACAAUGAAUGACUGAUGUAAUUAAUCCUAAUUAACACAUAAAAGCCUCACUCCAGGUUAAGGUAAAAAUAACAAUACCGCAAUCUACAAUUCAUCACGAGUUUGUUGUUAAUUUUACAGUGUUUUGUUUGGAAGUAAAUGUUUAAAUCUUCAAUCUAACCCAACAGCCAAUUACAGGUAGUCGGAAGUACAAUAUUUUCCAUUGAAAUAUAUUGAUGAAUAAAUAAGUGUUAUAUGAAAGCAGGUUGGUUCAAGCACGUUAAAUUGCACUUGCGUACUGUAUUUGAGACAUUUUGUGUUUUCCAACUUUAUCAAGGGACUAUACAGACUACAAAAUUGUUUGAAAUCAAUCCACCAGAUGGCACUGUAAUAUCACAUUUCACAUUAGUCUGUACCCAGAGUUGGGAUUUUUAAUACCGUAAUCGCUGUGGCUGUGGGAAUCAGUUGUUUUAAUUGUCAUUGUUUAAUUUGUUGAAAAUAUUUGGGAAAUAACUAAAAUGUUAAAUUUAAAAAAAAAGGACUCCAGUAAGUCAAGUUUUUAGCAUGUAUAGGCCUUCAAGGGAAAAUUACUGCUAUUGUUCAAUUUGAAUGUACAGUAAUAGCUGCUGAUUACUUCUAUACUGAGCAUAUUCACAGGUAAUCACACCUGUAUACUAAAUACCAAAUGUAACAGUAAAAUUCUGUUUUUUUUGUCAUGUGAACCUCAUUUCCAAUGGGAAAAAUGUUGAGAGUACAUUGUAAACAGAGCCUUCA